rnacentral:rRNA from 1 species
GCCAGCAGCCAUAUCACCAUGCAAAUCACAACUGGCAGCCCACUGAAGCUGAUAUGAGCCUGGUCAGUACCUGGAUGGGAGAUCUCCUGGGAAGAAUUAAGGUUGCUGCUGGAA